GAGAGCAGCACCCACAGUCAAGCAGACAUCUCCCAGCAGCAGAAUCCGGAGUCCCAGAAAUCUUGACUUUGCAAGAUGGCAUGUCAGUGGAAAAUUCCAAGGAACUAGAAACAAGUCACUCUUUGAAGCCAUGAUGGAAAUCUCCUCUGGGACCAGAUGCUAUGGCAGGUGCUAAACUUACAGUAUGGAGAGAUUUCCUUUAUGGGCACAAAAUGCCCCUUCCCGGGAUGUUCUGCAGAGGAGGCCUUUCUACUUUCGCCCUGGACAACUCUUCAUUCAAGGACUGCAUGCAAUUCUACUCAGAGAUCUUCAUAAAAUCUUAAGGGAAAAAUCCUUUUUGAAAGAAAAACAACUCUGGGUGGUGCUUGAAAAUUCAGAAGGCAGCUAGAAGCUUUGCCAAUGACAACUAUCCUGUAUUCCUUGAUUUUUCUCUUCAUUGCUAUGCAUGCACUUUGCACCAUUCCUUGCAAACCAAACCAAAAUCUCCACAGAAAUCCCCGUAAGUCUGUUAAGCAUAAAGAAUAAUCACAGAUAUUUUAUGGAUUUGGCCAAAGAAGGUAACUACUUCUUUCUAAGAGACUUUCCACAUCUUGAUGUUGCGUCUCUGUUUUAUCCCUAGGUGAGAGGGAAGCAUCCCAGAUUCAGACUCCAGAAGGAUCGCAGAAGUCCUACCUGGGUCUCAGCUAUUUGCAAGUCCAACGAUGUGAGCCCGAGAGAGGCCGGGAGUGUUUGGCAAAUGUGAUGUCUUAAUGGGCUGGAGCUGUUUGGUGGAAUUUGUAACCUACAAGAGAUUUCAGACCAUAUGACUAAAUGCUAAUGGAUUGGUCUGAGGCAGGUUUUAAAAAUACACCAUUUUAUCUACUCAUAGCAGAGUUAACAGGUUUUGAUGACUCUGGCCCUUUCUUUUGCCAUGCGUACGUUACUGGGCCAAAUAACCUGGCUGCGUUGGAAACCAGUUUCGAAUUACUUGCAGGUGGCUGGAGGCAGAUGAAAGCUGCCACAGAGGUGUUCCUCACGCUGUUCUCUAGUCCCCGGUCUCUCGGGCGGUGUGCUGACACUUGGAUGCUUGUUUUACAAUAUCAUUUGACAAGUGGGAUUUAUGUGUCAAAAUUUCCGCCAAAGCCAAGAAAAUGUCAGAGUAAGCAAAGUGAGGAAGCAUGAGAAAAGGGGAAAAGGGGUGGGGGCUGCUUUUUUAACGCAGGAGUGGGCGAGCUGGACCCUGCCAGAUCCUAACUCCACCAAACACACAGGGAAAUUGACCAGGCUGCCAAACGCCAGAGCUUUCUUCGGUGUGUUUUUGUUCAGUGCCGUUACUGCCUUUAUCAUUAAGGAAGCGAUGCAAUAAAAGCGAGGCCUUUUCCCUGAACGCAUGCGUGAAGAUAACUUAUUGGUCCAAGUCCAAAACCACUGGAGCCACGUUUAAUUUGCUGCGUUUAUUUUGUUCUGGGAUCUGGUGUACAGAGGUGCUUGGGGUCGCAGAGACAUCAGUGGACGCACCGAUAAUAAGUACAAAAGGAAGGGUCUUGUGCUUUCUUGGAAUCUUCAAAAUACUCUGGUUAUGAAAUAUUCAUAAAUCCCCCUAAGCUUGGUUGAACUUUCCCGAAGGUUUUUAUCAUAUGGUUAUUUUAAAAAGAUUAAACACACACUCACACACACAGAUCCCUAAACCUUACCUGAAACAGUUAGUAUGUCCUAUUAACUCCCACAUGAGAUAACUUUUUCCUCACUCUUUCUGUGGUGUGGGGCAGGGAGAGGCGACAAGAGAUUGACUGUUUAAGUCUCCUCAAGACCUGCGCUGUUUGCUCACUCAGCACAUUAAGAGCAUGUGUGCAUGACUUCAUAAACUAUCGGAUGACAUGCAACCUUCUUUAGACUCAAUAAAGAAGAGUAAUGAGUUAUGCAAAGUUAUUUCUGACACGGGGAACAGUAACUUUCCAAAAAGGCACCAUUCAUAGGGGCCAGGCUGGCCCGGCUCAGGGGCCAUCGUGCGUUAGUUCCAAACACUCAGGAAAGAAGUGUGGCUGCGACACCAUGUCAUGUGCCAAAUGUAAUAAGUGGGUUAUGAACAAAUCACUAUAAAGCAUAGUAACAAAUGCCCAUACUCUCUCCAUUCCAUCCCUCUGCGGGGAUUCAGGGCCUCCGGGGUCAGAAUCGACUGCCUAGGGAAGGUUUAGGAAGUGUGAGUGUGUGUCCUCCCGAUGCCAAUGAAAGACACAACAUCUCAGUGGCCAUCAGCCUGGGGUCUGAAGAUACCUAAGCUGAAAAUGCUGAGAUUUGGCCAAAGUAAUAAGUACAUUGGCUCUCCUUGUAAUCUCUGGGUUUUUGUUUAAUGGCAAUCUGGGUGUAACCUCAAUGUAAGGCAAGAAGCACUCAAAUGAACACGUAUGUUUACUCGAUAGGGAGAGACAGAUACCGAUAUGUAUUUGGGGGAUGUCCUACCUUUCUAACUUUCUCAGCCUUCCUAUGUGCAACUUAGAGUGUGUUUUCCGCCAGGAUUCUGGGCCAUCAAAGUGUCAAUUUUUCCCAUCUGCAGAUGGCUAAGUAAUUUCUCCUUGUGGAAAUGGUGUUUAUGGGGGAAAUAUCAUGUGUAUAGUUGCUACUUAGUUAAAAUAAAUGCUGGGAAACAUACCUGGGGCCCAUCGGCAUCGGAAGCACCUUAUAAAGUGGCCCCGAAGCUGCCUUGCUGAUUUAGAAAUUUUGAAAGUAAAAAGAUUGGGAUUUUGGAAAACUCCCACUUCAUAUGAUGUCAGUGGGUUAACUGUGUGCUGUUAACUGCUAAGAAUCAUCGUUUUAUUAGUGGUUUAACUAGUACAAACUGCCUACUAGGAGAAGUGUACAGAAGCACAAUGAACGAACCUAGCAGGCACAGACAUUUAUUUUUUCCCCAAUUCUGUUAAG